UCAGAGCGUGAAACAGGUGGUGUGACCAGAGAGCUGUAGCACAAGAAAAACAAGUCAGUGAGUUCUGCAGCUGAAUGACAGCAUGGCAGCAGCAUCUGGACCACAAGACACUUUUCCCAGACGUCGCAGGAAGAGCUUUGAUUUUGUGCCCCCCCACAGUGAGUUUUUAAAGAAAAGAUUAUGUUUAAUGCAAACUUUAACUGGGCAAUUUAAGGUGGAAGACAUUAGACAGGAGCAGGUGAAGACAAAAUAUAGCAGGAAGUGUGAAGCCUGUUUGGAAUAAUGAAAACCUCUUAGUGCACGGAUCCUGCUUUCUCUCUUUACAUUUAAAGCUAAUGUAAUGUAUAGAAAAGUGAAAUAAACUAUUUUAUGUAAACUUUUGGGGGUCAUUUCUGGGAGAGGUUACAGCAAAUCAAAUGUCUCCUUAACUUCAUGUUAACAGAUCAAACAUUCAGGAUACCAGUGUUUAUGUAGCUCUAUGCCACAGACAUGAAGUUGGUGCAAUUUAUUGAAACUGUGAUGUAUCCUGUAGUAAUGAUGAUCAAAAGAGAUUAUAGAAAUAAAAUUGUGCCAAACAAGAAAAAAAAAUUGGUCUUCAGGUUCUGUGGAUUUAAAACUGAGCUUUUAACAGAGGUUAAGUUUAUUUUUCAACUCUCAAACUUUAUGUAGUAUUCUCACAUGUGAAUAUAUAUUUAUGGCUCAGUAAUGAUCCAUAAAUACGAGAAAAAAAUAACACAUAUUUAAACAAACUGACAAUUUUUGUGCAUUUUUCAGUAACUCAGUGGUUACAAGUGGAAAAUGAUUAAAA